rnacentral:rRNA from 1 species
GUGGGGAAUAUUGCACAAUGGGCGAAAGCCUGAUGCAGCAACGCCGCGUGAAGGAUGAAGGCCUUUGGGUCGUAAACUUCUGUCCUUGGGGAAGAAAAAAAUGACGGUACCCCUGGAGGAAGUCCCGGCUAACUACGUGCCAGCAGCCGCGGUAAUACGUAGGGGGCGAGCGUUAUCCGGAAUUAUUGGGCGUAAAGAGUACGUAGGUGGUUUUUUAAGCGCAGGGUUUAAGGCGAUGGCUCAACUGUCGUUCGCCCUGUGAACUGGAAGACUUGAGUACAGGAGAGGAAAGCGGAAUUCCUAGUGUAGCGGUGAAAUGCAUAGAUAUUAGGAGGAACACCAGUGGCGAAGGCGGCUUUCUGGACUGUAACUGACACUGAGGUACGAAAGCGUGGGGAGCAAACAGGAUUAGAAACCCUUGUAGUCC